CUGGCGGCAGGCCUAACACAUGCAAGUCGAGCGGUAGAGAGAAGCUUGCUUCUCUUGAGAGCGGCGGACGGGUGAGUAAUGCCUAGGAAUCUGCCUGGUAGUGGGGGAUAACGUUCGGAAACGGACGCUAAUACCGCAUACGUCCUACGGGAGAAAGCAGGGGACCUUCGGGCCUUGCGCUAUCAGAUGAGCCUAGGUCGGAUUAGCUAGUUGGUGAGGUAAUGGCUCACCAAGGCGACGAUCCGUAACUGGUCUGAGAGGAUGAUCAGUCACACUGGAACUGAGACACGGUCCAGACUCCUACGGGAGGCAGCAGUGGGGAAUAUUGGACAAUGGGCGAAAGCCUGAUCCAGCCAUGCCGCGUGUGUGAAGAAGGUCUUCGGAUUGUAAAGCACUUUAAGUUGGGAGGAAGGGUUGUAGAUUAAUACUCUGCAAUUUUGACGUUACCGACAGAAUAAGCACCGGCUAACUCUGUGCCAGCAGCCGCGGUAAUACAGAGGGUGCAAGCGUUAAUCGGAAUUACUGGGCGUAAAGCGCGCGUAGGUGGUUUGUUAAGUUGGAUGUGAAAUCCCCGGGCUCAACCUGGGAACUGCAUUCAAAACUGACUGACUAGAGUAUGGUAGAGGGUGGUGGAAUUUCCUGUGUAGCGGUGAAAUGCGUAGAUAUAGGAAGGAACACCAGUGGCGAAGGCGACCACCUGGACUAAUACUGACACUGAGGUGCGAAAGCGUGGGGAGCAAACAGGAUUA
rnacentral:rRNA from 1 species